UACCACGGUCCCCUAUCUCACCUAUGAAAAAAGGGCGAGAUCACACAAACACACACUGAGGGCAAGCUUGGCGGUUUGUUUAGUGCAAGCAGAUGAGUAAGUGGACACACAAGUGAGUGCAUGAAGUCGACAGGCACAGCUACACUACCGCCAACAGUUCCUCCGCUGUAGUUGCACGUCGGCUUCGGGGAAGUUACCACUACUAUUGCUACUACUACUACUACUACUACUACCACCACCACCAGAGGGCUAGUGUAGUCGGGCUGGGAAGAUGGUUGGCGAUCGUUUAAUUACAACUACCGAUGGGAAACGGCAACAACAUCAGCAGCAGCAAGCAGCUCACUCUCGACCAAGUAAACCUUCAUCUUGCGUCCACGGAGCGGGGGGGGGGGGGGGGAUUGCAGCUCUGCGAAUGAUCCCACCCGCUCCCCUAUCUAUGCAGCUGCCGCCAGCUUCCGCUCACUGAUCGUGCGAUCGUGCAACCGGCUGUGUAUAAAACGAUCAAUUGAAUGCAGCGGGUGGCGUGCCGUGCCGUGUGCUUCGUGCUCUGUGGGAAAGAGGGUUGUGGAAUGCUGGAGCGUACACCGGAACAUCAUUUGCAUCCCUCGCUCGCUGUGUAGCCCUCACGUCUCCAUAAGCCGCCCCACCGUUCAGUAGCCGAGAGGAACUUCGAUCAACCGAUCUGAGCCGCGUUGUGUUUGAGAACGGUUUUUCGCGGCAAGACACAUCCAACACCCCGAAACCCCUUUUCCGUAUGCACGUUAACAGAUUGCACGUUAACUCCUGUUUGUGGGAGAAAUUAAUAUACGUGCUGCUUUUAUUAGCACUCCCUUAUGUCACUUCGGCCACAAUUGUUCUAUUAUUAAAUCAUCAGAGCUCGCUGUCUGCUGAGCCCCGUUUGCAAAUAGAGAGAAGCAAAGCAAAAUAAUACCAUUGAUUGGAUUGAUUGUUGUACGCCCGUUUCGUCGUCACGUUCUGGCGGUGUGCGAAUAGUGUGUGAGUGUUAUUAAAGCUCCCUUUUUUUACCAGGCUAACGGCUGCCAGAGGGCAGAAGCUGUCAAAGGUGCUAGAUCAUCGCUGAUUAGUUUGCAGUUAACAAUCUUAUAUGCUUAAAUUAAGCUCUUUAUUGGUCGCAGGACAAUGUACCAAUGAUUGAGCAGCACAAGGAAGGAAGGACUAACUAAUAGUUGUUAGAAGGAUUUACGAUUUUAACUCGUUUUUUUGCAAAUUGAGGUUUACAUUUGGCGGCUUGAUUCAUCUCAAAAUAUCAGCCCAGAUUUGAUGAAUAUGAAAUAAAUAUUAAGAAAAUGCUUAUUUGUUAAGUAAUCUAAAGGGAUGGCUCAUGUAUAAUGGAAUUUGAAGAACAUAUGUAUCCAACCGGCAUGAAAUUCAAAUAGAAAUUGUAACUGAAAAUUAUCCUUCUUUCCCAUUGGAUUUAAUUUGAUUCUUGAAGUACUGAUGUAGGCUGGAAACUUAUUAGUUUAAUUUAAAACGUUAAAUAAUCGAAUGCUUCGUUAUCACACAGAUUUUUUUGGAAUAAAACUGUAAAUGUACUAAUUGAGAAUUAAUUUACAGAAAAUUUGCGCAUUGUAUAGAUAAGGUUAUAAUAUUGGUAAAUAUGGUAGAAAUAAAAAUAUUAUAAUAUUUUACCAUA